CCCAGGUCAUCCGUCAUCUUGCUUCCACGAGGUUGUGUGCAUCAUUGUGAAAAUAACCUGCAAUGAAAUACUAUUUUCGCAGGCAAUUGUCAAAAGAAAUGUAAAGAAUGCGGCUUUUUAAACCAUUAUUCCGAAAUUGUGCCUCCAAAUAAGUACGGAACACGAAAUGUAUUUUAUAAUUUAAUAGCAAUAAACUAUACUCCCAACUCGCUCUUUUAAAAUCCCAAGUCACAGUCCCAACAUUGUUCACUCCCCCCUGUUUUCUCGCACGUGUUCAGCAAUCCCCUACUAACUCUAAAUGUCCAUUGUUGUCCUUCAAAAUACACUAAUGUAUAAAGCAAAAUAACGUCAAUUUCCAACACCCUCCCCCCAUGUGACUCAUAAGGAGUCGCAUGUUAUACUAGUAAACCCCGAUGUCUCAAUGUUUAAUUGUCAUUCGUCCUUUUCAUCCCGUUCAAACAGUUCCUUAUUCCUUGCUUCUGCUUUGACCGCUGCUUGUCGUCUUGGCUUGAAUUCUUUUGCAUUGGUAUUCAAUUUCGUCUCGCAUUUCCCCACGUCGCAUUCCAGUUCCAAGGGAUAAAUCAGUUGAAUCGGUCUUUCUAUAGUCGAUUUAGCGCAUUGAAGUUUAACUCCCCUGACAACUUUAUCUUUCCCACGAAUUAACUUCGUAACUUUCCCCAUUUUCCACUUGUUUCUGUUCUUCUCGUCGCCUUUGAUCAACACAAUAUUUCCUUCAUUGGGACCAACUGUAGUUGACUUGCUGUUGGUCUGAUGACGCUGCCGUAAACUCGUCAGGUACUCUCUUUGCCAUCGUCUCCAUAAAUGGUUCUUUACGCUUUGCAAGUACCUUGCCCUCUUUCGUAGAUCACCGUCCUCAAUAUGAUAACAUUCUAGCUGUGGCACAACAUUCGACUGUUGUAGCACAAAGGAAUUUGGUGUAAGAAUAGGAAAUUCAAUAUCAUCCUCUAAGUAGCUUAGUGGCCGGUUAUUCAUACAGAUUUCUACAUCUAGAACAACUUCCGACAGCUCUUCAAAUGUCAAAAGUCCUUUGCCGAUAACCUUGUAAAAAGCACAUUUGAAAAUUCCGAUUAAUCGUUCAAAUUGUCCGCCCCACCAGGGCGCACGUGACAAAUUGAAUCUCCACUUGAUCUCAUACUUGCUCAGUUCACUGUGGAAUUUCUCAUCUUUCAUCACCUUGUUUAACCAUGAGGCAGCCGCUUGGAACGUCUUCGCGUUGUCCGAGUAGAUAAGAGAAGGUCGACCUCGUCUGGCGAUUAGUCUUUUGAGACUUCGAAGGAAAGGGGUUGUUUCAAGACUCUUCAGAACUUCUAGGUAAACUCCCCGAGUCAAACUACAUGUAAAUAGGACUAAGUAUGCUUUCCCUUCUUGGAUUUUCUUAACUCUAUAUGUGAUUGGGCCGGCGAAAUCGACUCCGAUAACUUUAUAAGGAGUAGUCCCUUCCGUUCGCGUUGUUGGUAAUGGUCCAGGUGUUGGAGCUUGAUAAGGUUUGGUCAUAAACUUCUUGCAUCGUGCGCAUCCCUUUCGCGACUUUUUUACUAGGCGACGGAGGCGAGGUAUCCAGUAGUUCUCACGAAUCUUCGCCAUCGUCAAAAUAACUCCCCCAUGGAGCGUCUUUAUAUGAGCUUCUUCCACAAGUUUCACGGCAAACAACGAACUGUCGGGCAGGUAAAUAGGAAGUUGUCCUUGUACUCGUCCUUUGCACUUCAGAAUCUCGUUCGCAUCGGCUUGUAGGUUUAACUGAACUGAAUCAUUUUGACAUUUUGAAUCUUCUUUCGCAUCUGCUUGUACUUGUUUGAUCCACCAUAGACGUUGUUGGUCAAUCUCAUCGGUUGUUAAUGGACCAUGUUGCCUGCUGUCUACGUUCACGCGACUGUUGUCGAGGAAUCUCUUUAUCCAUGCACCAAUUCUUAGGGUUUUCGUCAAUGAAUGCUUCCUCAGAAUAUCUCCCAGGAUCGCUGACUCCACUCGUUCCACACCUACAUUGAGAAUCGCUCGCGUUGCUUUGGAUUCACUCUGAGAAUCGGCAGAUGGUUUGACAACGAGGUUCGGUGGCCAAUGACUACGAUCUGGCAGCCAAGUAGGACCCUUUAACCAGAGCUUUGUAAGUUGACCACCCCUGCUUCCGAGGUCAGCUGGGUUCUCUGUUGUCGGUUCAUGAUGCCACUCGAUUCCUUCAGCAUCU
rnacentral:lncRNA from 1 species